rnacentral:rRNA from 1 species
UACGGAGGGAGCUAGCGUUGUCCGGAUAUACUGGGCGUAAAGCGCACGUAGGCGGCGCCGUAAGUCAGGGGUGAAAUCCCGGAGCUCAACUCCGGAACUGCCCUUGAAACUGCAGUGCUAGAAUCUUGGAGAGGCGAGUGGAAUUCCGAGUGUAGAGGUGAAAUUCGUAGAUAUUCGGAAGAACACCAGUGGCGAAGGCGACUCGCUGGACAAGUAUUGACGCUGAGGUGCGAAAGCGUGGGGAGCAAACAGG